ACUUUGCUGGGCUGCGAGGCGGUUCAGGCAGUGUCCGCAGGAUGGUCCUGGUAAUGUUCUGAACCCUGGUCUCUUUUCAGCCACUGGAGUCUUAACGUCAAGCCACCAGCAGACGGCGCUGCCCUCAAGCUUUUUGGGAAGCCUUGCUGAUUGACCGACACUAUCUGCACCAUCGCAUCCAUCUGCCCGUGCUGACCCUGCCCGCGAGUGAUCCAUCAGGUGUCUGUGAGGUGGCCGGGGCCUGCCCUGGAUGUGGUCCUAGCUCAACCCUCCAUUCGUCUGGUCCCAUCGGGAAAUGGACAAAGAGUCUAACAUUCAUCUCUAGGAUGUAAGAAGCUCAGCUCCAUGGAAACGAUCAGGAAAAGAGUCCGGUCCCUGGUCCUGGUAGUGCACAUCCCUGGCAGCCCACCUGCGCAGCAAGAAGAUGAGGCGCGACAGCCUGGAAGGCGACACAGGCACUGAGCCAGAGGGAGAGGAAAAGCCCCAUACACCCCCAACCCCCAGUCUUUCCCUCUCUCUCUUUCUGCCUCCCUCUCUGUCUGUCUCAAGGGAUGGGGCAGAAGCAGUGAUGACCAGCAGGGCGUGGGUGCUGGGGGCCCUGUGGUCUAAGUUUACAUCU